GGAAGGGGUGUAUUUAUUAGAUAAAAAACCAAUGCCCCUCGGGGCUCUCUGGUGAAUCAUGAUAACUAGUCGAAUCGACAGGCCUUGUGCCGGCGAUGGCUCAUUCAAAUUUCUUCCCUAUCAACUUUCGAUGUUUGGGUCUUGUCCAAACAUGGUGGCAACGGGUAACGGAGGGUUAGGGCUCGACCCCGGAGAAGGAGCCUGAGAAACGGCUACUACAUCCAAGGAAGGCAGCAGGCGCGCAAAUUACCCAAUCCCGACACGGGGAGGUAGUGACAAUAAAUACUGAUACAGGGCUCUUUUGGGUCUUGUAAUCGGAAUGAGUACAAUUUAAAUCCCUUAACGAGGAACAAUUGGAGGGCAAGUCUGGUGCCAGCAGCCGCGGUAAUUCCAGCUCCAAUAGCGUAUAUUAAAGUUGUUGUGGUUAAAAAGCUCGUAGUUGAACCUUGGGCCUGGCUGGCCGGUCCGCCUCACCGCGUGCACUGGUCCGGCCGGGCCUUUCCCUCUGCGGAACCCCAUGCCCUUCACUGGGUGUGGCGGGGAACCAGGACUUUUAC
rnacentral:rRNA from 1 species